GUCAACUUCCCAAGGCUUUUCAGCGUCAAGAAAGAGGAGUUUGAAGGGAUUACGGACACUGAAGACUAUAAGCAGAAAGUUCAAGUCUGGGUGGCCAAAAGUUAUAUUUCAGUGACCUGGUUACUGGUU